rnacentral:rRNA from 1 species
CCAAGGAGUCUAACAUGUAUGCGAGUCAUUGGGAAAGUAAACCCAAAGGCAUAAUGAAAGUAAAGAAUUCGAUUGCGAAUUUGAGGAGAGAUCAUGGAUAUGUGUGGGCUUCCGUAAGGUUGACUGCACAUGUUAUGCGCAUCUCCUGGACGUUUAAUACCUCUUGAAGGUUGGGCGUACCAAGAGCAUACACGUUGGGACCCGAAAGAUGGUGAACUAUGCCUGGUCAGAACGAAGUCAGGGGAAACUCUGAUGGAGGUUCGUAGCGAUUCUGACGUGCAAAUCGAUCGUCGGAACUGGGUAUAGGGGCGAAAGACUAAUCGAACCAUCUAGUAGCUGGUUCCCUCCGAAGUUUCCCUCAGGAUAGCUGGCGCUUGAUUAAAUCAGUCUCAUCCGGUAAAGCGAAUGAUUAGAGGCCUUGGGGCCGAAACGACCUCAACCUAUUCUCAAACUUUAAAUGGGUGAGAAGUCAGGCUUGCUUAAUCGAAGCUCUGACAAUGGAUGGUGAGUGCCAAGUGGGCCACUCUUGGUAAGCAGGACUGGCGCUGUGGGAUGAACCAAACGUUGGGUUAAGGCGCCCGAAUCGACGCUCAUCAGAUCCCAUAAAAGGCGUUGGUUGCUUAAGACAGCAGGACGGUGGCCAUGGAAGUCGGAA